rnacentral:rRNA from 1 species
GAUGAACGCUGGCGGCGUGCUUAACACAUGCAAGUCGAACGAAGCACUUACAAUUGAUUCUUCGGAUGAGAGAGUUUGUGACUGAGUGGCGGACGGGUGAGUAACGCGUGGGUAACCUGCCUCAUACAGGGGGAUAACAGUUAGAAAUGACUGCUAAUACCGCAUAAGCGCACAGUAUCGCAUGAUACCGUGUGAAAAACUCCGGUGGUAUGAGAUGGACCCGCGUCUGAUUAGCUAGUUGGUGAGGUAACGGCUCACCAAGGCGACGAUCAGUAGCCGGCCUGAGAGGGUGAACGGCCACAUUGGGACUGAGACACGGCCCAAACUCCUACGGGAGGCAGCAGUGGGGAAUAUUGCACAAUGGGGGGAAACCCUGAUGCAGCGACGCCGCGUGAGUGAUGAAGUAUUUCGGUAUGUAAAGCUCUAUCAGCAGGGAAGAUAAUGACGGUACCUGACUAAGAAGCACCGGCUAAAUACGUGCCAGCCGCCGCGGUAAAAC